GCUGUGGUGACAGAGAGGCAGACUGAGACUUUCUCAUAGAACCUGUCCAGCUAAUUAGUUCAGAAUGCAUCCCUGGACAUGCGAGUCUCAAAGGAUUUAUAUAAAUAGCCAAGGAACCCUCACCAUCAAACACACCCAUUGUGUAUCUGGGGCACCCUGAAAAUAAAAUUCUCUGCAGGUCCUUCCUAGUGACCACUGCAUUUCCUGAACUUCCAACCAACUGCCACAUUUAUGGUCUUUCAGUCUUCAAGGAAAUGCUAACAAAACUAGGAACAAAGUAGGAAAGAUGCUGAGCUGGGAGUUCUGAGAAAGAACAAUGGGUAAGGAGGAAGAAAGUUGCCCACCCUCCCCUUUCUCUGCCAACCACCCUCCCUCACACUGUCCGUUCCUUGAUGACACAGCUGAUGUGAUUAAGAUCGUCCCCAAAUCGCUUCACAGCAGCCCUCAGCAUCUCUAUCUCCGUCUCCGUCCACUUGGCACUGUCGGAAGGGGAGAAGGGUGAUAGCAAAAAUGGCAGAGGAGUGUGUGGAACCAGCCCACAGGCUAUUCCGUCCACAGCCACGCUGGGCCAGGCACAGAGGAAUUAGUAAAUCUCCCUGCUCUAGAAAGGGUCGUGACUGUGACUGAGUCCAAACGUCUGCUCUCGGCGUCCAAGUCUUAGUCUGGUCUCACGUACCCGGCAGGGGAAGAGUCCGAUACUGGAUGCAGCUGCAUCGUCAACUCCCCGAGCUUCGUGAAGGCGGCGCCGGCCGCGGAAAAGAUCUCUCCAACCUGGGGGCGGAGCAGCAUUACGGGGGGCCGGCAUCGCGCCGUCCCACCCCAGCCUCGGAUCCGCCCGCCCCCCGCCCAGCGCGCACCAGCCGGGAGCCAGGCAGGGGGCCCACCCUCCCGUGGCCGCCAGGGAGCGCAGUCCGCGAGGGAGGUCGAACCUUGGUGGACGCUGACGUCAUGGCCCCGCGCACCUCCUCACGGAGACGCUCCGCCGCCACCACCACGCGAGCUGGAAACCACGGAGAGCCCGGCAGCCGGCCGCUCUGGCUCCCGCGCAGGAAGUCCCGCCCUUCUUGCAGCUGAUUGGCUGAGACACGACCUCUCCCCAGUCACUCAAACUGCCUCGCUGCGCGGAGGAAGACGAGGUGGAAGACGUCGCUUCAUUUCCGGCUGGCUUCAUUCCACUUCCGUCGAAGGGUUCGGGUUCCUCGUCGAGGCCGGUCUGUCCUUCAAGCCCAGGCCCGCCCCCUCCUUGAAAGCACAGACACCAAACUUAGGAGAACCGCUUCUUUUUAUUGUAGUUCAGGACAGGGCGCGGUCACCCCCGGUCCCCUCCAGGGGUUGGGCAGCAGUUUUGCAGGGCCAGGGAUGACGUCUCGCCAGGGUAACAGUCCCAAAGGACACCAGAUGAGUGGAACAGAUGGACUGAGGAGUCUUUAAAUAAGGAGGGGAAUGGGGAGAGUCGGACUGCGCUCUAGCGCACCAUGUAUUCCUUGCGCUUAUUGAGACGAACUUGGCAGAAGGAGAAGCCCCC